AUUUGAUGAUGCAUUUUAAUGGGUCUUUCGGUCUUGUCAGAACUUCGGAAACAUCCUUUAGGGCUCCUGAGCUGGGCUGCAUGUUAUCAAGUGAGCCCAAUGAGGAACCAACCCCGAGCAGGGUGUGUGGGUUGGUGGUUAAAGCAGGGGCUGGGAGCCAGGAUUCCUGGGUUCGCUUCUACAAGAAGACCUGCCCUGGUUUAAGGGGAAACAGCAACAAUUUCAGACCCGGGUUUUGAUCAGAAACAUCCAGGAGAGAAUUUCAUCCAAAAAAAAAAAAAAAAAAACUCAACUGGAAUAAGGGAAACCAAACCAACUUUGAAGUGUCAGAGAAUCUCACAAAAUGAUUUCCCAACAGGCUGCUUAGAUGUUGUCGUCAGCACUUUGGGGGUCGGGACUGUUUUUCUGUCUCUGUUUGUACAGCACCUAGCACAGCGGGGGUCUGGUCCGUGGCUGGGGCUCCUCGGUACCACAAAUAAUCAGACUGCUGGGUGGAUCUCAGUUGGCAUCCCCUGCAUGUCUGGCAGAUCCGAAGCAUGAAGGGAGAUCUACAUUAAA